GCCUUUGUGGUGUAGUGGUCAGCACGCUCGGCGCAUAUUCAAGAGAUCUGAGGUUCAAGUCCCGGCGAGAGCA
rnacentral:tRNA from 1 species